CUGGUGCCAAGCUGGUAGAAUCAUUAGUGUGUCAGACAUAUUGCUUUGUAAUAUUUGAUCUUGCUCUUUACGUUCUGAGUUCCAAUCCUGCCAAAUUCACCUUU